ensembl:lncRNA novel transcript
CCUGCUGGCCUGGAGCUGAUUGACGCUUUCCUGCCCCAGCAGUUGAGAAGUCCAUUUAUUUCCCUCCAGGGGCCUCACAGACCCAUUUACCCCAGAGCUGUGGGUCUGGGGGAUUCAAAGAGAGACCUGGUGACUGUGACAGCCUCUGGAAACCUGAGUCGACAUUGUCUGCUGGGCAUUAGUGGUGAUGCCCCAGAGACAGGAUCUUGCUCUGUUGCCCAGGCGAGAGUGCAGUGGCAUGAUCACAGCUCAUUGCAGCCUUGACCUCCUGUGCUCAAGCAAUCCUCCUGCCUCAGCCUCCAGAGUAGCUGAGACUACAAGCACCCACCACCGCGCCUGGAUAAUUUUUAAACUUUUUAGAGAUGGUAUCUCACUGUGUUACCCAGGCUGGCCUCAAACCCCUGGCUCCAAGCAAUCUUCCUGCCUCAGCCUCCCAAAGUGCUGGGAUUACAGGUAUGAGCCACCAUGCUUCGCCUUGUGAGCUAAUUUGCAAGAAUGGAACAAUGAAGACUCCUAGACCUACUCACCUGCCUUAAAGAUAUGCUAUUGUCCCCCAGAGAGGUGGCAAAAUGGUUUGUAUUUUUGUCUUAAGCCUUGGACUUUUAAAAUCCUGGAUUUUGAUGUGUGUGCAGAAGAGAACUAAGAUAGCGUGCUUGAGACCGCUCUCCUUUAAAAGGCCUGCUUGCAAGAGUAGCCUCUGACUGGCAUCUGGGAACUUGGAUCUUGAGAGAGUUGCCACCAUUCUCUAACUUUGCUGUGCUGCUUUGCUGUGCCUGAACUGUUUGCACACAAAAUGGGGUUUAUGCAGAACACCUGCUUGCCCUCUGGA